rnacentral:rRNA from 1 species
UACGGAGGAUGCAAGCGUUAUCCGGAUUCACUAGGUUUAAAGGGUGUGUAGGCGGAAUAAUAAGUCAGUGGUGAAAGCUUACGGCUCAACCGUAAAAUUGCCAUUGAUACUGUUGUUCUUGAGUUCGGUUGAGGUAGGCGGAAUGAGUAAUGUAGCGGUGAAAUGCUUAGAUAUUACUCAGAACACCGAUUGCGUAGGCAGCUUACCAAGCCGACACUGACGCUGAGGCACGAAAGCGUGGGGAGCGAACAGG